AUGCAAGGCACCUAUAAAGUUGAACAUAAAAAAUGACUAUGUAAGGGUGAAAAGUAAUAGUUAUUAUUUUGAAUGCUUAUGAUUAUAAUUAACUUCCUCCACUAAUAAUGCUUAUGAUUAAUUCUCUCCAAAACAAAAUUGCAUGCUCCAUCAACAUUGAAAAAUGUCAAAAAGCACAUUGAGGAUGUGACAUCAAAUACUCAUUUUGAAAAGGAAUUCUACAGUGAUUGACUGACAGUAAAAGAAAAAUGCA
rnacentral:misc_RNA from 1 species